rnacentral:lncRNA from 1 species
AGAAACAGUGGGCUGGUAGAGAAGGAGACACAUUUGUGCAAUAUUUAGGAAGCAAAAUUGUAGAGCAGGAAUGGAUCUGAAGUCAAUGAAAAACUCUUCAUAGCUCUAGUUGUUGGGCUUCCCCAGAAGAUGACAUUGAAAGGAAGGUUUGGAUGCAAGUUGUUCAUUUAGGAGGAGAUCUCAGGAAGCACAAAGUAUUUCCUUGAGUCAGGACCUCCAAGUCCUCCCCUAACUAGCCACUGUGCCUUCUCCAGGUAGAAACAGCUUUCUGUCUCAUGACUGACACCCUUCCUUGGUUCCUGUCAUCUGUAGCCAGGUAUGCUGGGUGCUGGAGAGAGCCCUGGACUUGGAGUCAAAAGACUGCAGUUGGAGCAGAGGAUCUUCCCUCAGAAGUUCUGCUGUGGGCUGAGUCGUUUCACCUCUCUGGGCCCCAGAUGGACCUUUGUAAAACUGAGUGGAGGCGAGGAGGUGCAGCAGGUCCAUAAAUUCAUCAGCUUCCCAGGCUGCUUCCACCUUUGCUACAUGUGGCCUCAUCCUUACAGCCCAAGAUGGCUCCUAGGGCUCUAGCCAUCACAUGCUGGUACCAGAGAGCAAGAUGACUGAAGGGGAGGAAAGAGAGCAUGUGCUUGUCUCGUGAAGAGAUUUCCUGGAAGUUACACAAAACAUUUCUGUUUUCAGCUUGUUGACUAGAACAUAGUCGUCUGUCAUACUUAGUGUGGAGGGUGACCAAAGAGGGAGUGUUUUGUCUGAAUAGCAUUGCAUCCAGCCAGAUAGCGAGGGCAAGUAGCUGGAGGGAAGAGGAAGACAGACAUUGUAGAGGAAGCUAGCAGUGACUCCCCCCCAGAUUAUAUCCUAUUAAUAAAAGUAAGAACCUAAUU